GACAGAGGGUGCAAACGUUGUUCGGAAUUACUGGGCGUAAAGCGCGUGUAGGCUGCUUCGCAAGUCGGAUGUGAAAGCCCUGGGCUCAACCUAGGAAGUGCAUUCGAAACUGCGAAGCUUGAGUCCUGGAGAGGAAGGCGGAAUUCUCGGUGUAGAGGUGAAAUUCGUAGAUAUCGAGAGGAACACCGGUGACGAAGGCGGCCUUCUGGACAGUGACUGACGCUGAGACGCGAAAGCGUGGGGAGCAAACAGG
rnacentral:rRNA from 1 species